rnacentral:rRNA from 1 species
AAUGAACGCUGGCGGCAGGCCUAACACAUGCAAGUCGAACGGAUCCUUCGGGAUUAGUGGCGGACGGGUGAGUAACGCGUGGGAACAUACCCUUUGGUAGGGAAUAGCCUCGGGAAACUGGGAUUAAUACCGUAUUUGGUCGAGGGCCGAAAGAUUUAUGGCCAAAGGAUUGGCCCGCGUUGGAUUAGGUGGUUGGUGGGGUAAUGGCCUACCAAGCCGACGAUCCAUAGCUGGUUUGAGAGGAUGAUCAGCCACACUGGGACUGAGACACGGCCCAGACUCCUACGGGAGGCAGCAGUGGGGAAUCUUAGACAAUGGGGGAAACCCUGAUCUAGCCAUGCCGCGUGAUCGAUGAAGGCCUUAGGGUUGUAAAGAUCUUUCAGGUGGGAAGAUAAUGACUGUACCACCAGAAGAAGCCCCGGCUAACUCCGUGCCAGCAGCCGCAGUAA